rnacentral:piRNA from 1 species
UGCAAAUACCACAAAGCUGAGUUAUUGAGA